UGGGGAAUUUUGCACAAUGGGGGAAACCCUGAUGCAGCGACGCCGCGUGAUUUAGAAGGCCUUCGGGUUGUAAAAAUCUUUUCUAUGGGAAGAAAAUGACAGUACCAUAGGAAUAAGGACCGGCUAAUUACGUGCCAGCAGCCGCGGUAAUACGUAAGGUCCGAGCGUUGUCCGGAAUCAUUGGGCGUAAAGGGUACGUAGGCGGGUAAGCAAGUUAGAAGUGAAAUCCUGUAGCUCAACUACAGUAAGCUUUUAAAACUGCUCAACUUGAGAUAUGGAAGGGAAAGUGGAAUUCCAUGUGUAGCGGUGAAAUGCGUAGAUAUAUGGAGGAACACCAGUGGCGAAGGCGACUCUCUGGUCUGUAACUGACGCUGAGGCUCGAAAGCGUGGGUAGCAAACAGG
rnacentral:rRNA from 1 species